GCAGAGCAGUGGUGUGGGCUGCUUGACUGAGUAUACUUAUGGUUAUUUCUUCAUUAUAUACUAAACAAGGGGUGGAUUACUCAUGAGUUUUCUGGGGAAGGAGUGGGCAAGUCCUGGAACUGAGUGUUCUUCUCCGUUUUAGACCAUAUAGGGUAACUUCCUGAUGUUGCCAUGGCAUUUGUAAACUGUCGUGACAUUCGUGGGUGUGUCUUUUGCUUGCUAAGGCAUUAUAAUUGGCAUAUAAUAAGCAGUGAGGACAACCAGAGGUCAUUUUUGUCACUGCACUCCAGCCUGGGCAACAGAUUGAGACCCUGCCUCAAAAAAAAAAAAAAAAAAAAAAAUUAGUCCUUCCUGUUGCUCUUGCACAAAAUUCAACAUGCUUGAUUUUAGACAUAGUUGUAAACGGAAGAAGAUGGAGAAAAUUUUUACUCCAAAACAUCUUCUUGGGGAGAACGCUGGAAUAAACAAUUUGAUAAAUUGUUUUGGGUGACAGGAGGCAAGAGAUAAGAUCUCAAAGUGCCUGAUUGAAUAGCACAAGAUGGUUCCAACCCUGACUUCUAAGCAGGGUGGAUCUAAUUUUGUAAAUUGGAGAAGAAAUGUUUUGAUGUGGGGGAGCCAGGAGAGAGCUGCUUUGCUUUGCAUAACAGAGAGGAGAGGGGUGUACUUCUGAAGGAGGUUCUGGGAAGGGGAGAGAGGGAACUAUUGAAGGUGGGGCUCCUCCAAGAGAGAGUUCGGACACCUUUACUUUGGAAGAACAGAAACAUCUGACUGGUUGUUUGACCCGAUGGCCCAUUGAUGUGCUGGGUACCAUAUUACCUUUUCUUGUUUCCCCUGCGAAGCUGCCCAUAAAGUCUAUAUUGCUUACAGACACAUUUGUCUGAUGCGGAACUCUAAAGAGAAGGAUUUCUGUGUGCAAGUUGAAACGGGCAAAAGCAGAGAAAACACAUGCAAAUACAAAUCUGAAGUUCAAGUUGACUUCUGGGUUCUAUUUACCUGCAUGCCCCUCCCAGUGGAUGAUAAAACUCCUGGGAGUAAGGGUCUAUUUUUGCUUGUUUCAAAAUUCAUUGCACCUGGUACAAUGCCUGGCAUGUAGCAGACACCCAGCACCUCUAUGAUGAAUACAUGAAUGAAUGAAUUAAUCUCUAGGAGAAAUCAAUGAAUUAAUGGCAUGACUUGCAGGGAAACAUCUGCAACAAACAUGGCUCUGGGCUGGCCUUGACAAAUGAAGACGCCCAGAGAAUUUCACCCCAAAAUAUGGCAUCCUGGUAUGAUGAAUAUUUCAAAUUCAAGGCCAUUGGAGACCAGUGGAUGCUGGAGGAGGCUUUUCCCUUAGCUGCAUGAAGACUUGACCCACCAAGUGGAACAAUUGCUUCCCGUCCCAUCCCUGAAAUCUCAUUAUCUAUCAAGAAACAAAGACUGAGUAAUGUAACAACAACUGGACAGACCUUUUUAUAAGAUAAUAUCUGUCUCUCAGGUUUGUUUAGAUUCCAAACAGAAUAAUUUACAAUUGAAUUUCAGUCUCCUGGGUCCAUUCAUUCUCCCUAAUAAUCAUUUACUGCUCCUCAAAAGAAUUACCAACAUUUCCCAUCUCCCCCCUUCCUUAUGGAGAAAGUUAUAUAAGAAUCUGGACCACAUGGAGAUACUGAGUAAUAUUCUGCAAUUCCCUCAUGCUGUGCACAUUAAAAUAAAUUUUGUAUGUCUUUUCUCCUAUUAAUCUGCCUUCUUUGUCAGUUGAUUUUCAGCAGGCCUCAAGAGAGUGAAAGGGAAGUUUCCCCUUGGUCCCUAUGCUAGCUUUGGCCAAUGGAACAUUAGCAAACAGGCUUGAAAAGUAUCUUGAGGCUCACUCCCUCAGAACCUGGUGACCUCCAGAUGAACAAGCUUGAGAUGGCCUGCCUGAUGAUGAGAGACACAGACACCAGCCAAGCCAUCUGUGUCACCCCAGCUGAUGUCAAGCCAAUGGCCAGACAUCUGCAGGAGGCCCUCCUAGACCAUCUAGCUCCAGAAUCCACAGCAAGUUGCAUUCCUGACUGGAGAUGUCAGGGGGACCUCGUGUGAACUGCCAGCACUGAAUCGUUUCUGAGGUUGGAAGAAAUAGUUGGGAGGCUGCCCUCACCUUCCAGCUUGGAACUGGGCUGAAUGCAGUCCUAUGGCUCACUCCGCAGGCCACCCGCUUGGCUGGGACACAGCUUUGGCAAGCCUUGCUCCUGGCAGGCUGGACUCAUGAGAACCCUGGCAUUUCAGAGCGUGUGUCAGGGCAUGUGGAAGGAGAAUGCAGUGUGGUCACAGGGUAAGCCAAGACCGGGGAGAUGGCCUGCAUGAUAAGAGGGGAAGUGGACCCAAGGGGGUUGGGAGUCAGAAUUUCUGAACCCUGAAAUCAUCUCUGUGAGGCACUGGGGAGUGUCAACUCUGAGGAUGAUGAGGGGAACUGUGGGCCCUACGUUGCCCCCCCAAAGCCAAUGACAAGCAUUUGGCUCAGUGAUAUGAGCUGAUCGAUGAUUCAGCCAACAUCUCCUCCUCCAGGAAGAUUUCUCGGGUUACCCCAUUAGCUUUUCUGCUGGUAACUGCCACUAAGACUCCCACCCCAGGAAGGGAUGAUCUCCGCUAAGUUAUUUCUGCCACUAAAUUCUUCCCAUGAGAUCCUGUCAAAAAUUAUGGAAACUGAAGCUUAAACAAGAGAGGGCUUUUCACCUACUGCUUGAGCUGAGAGUUCCCACCUCCCUGGCAGAAUGCCAUGUGACACAGAACCUUUGAACCCAUGUCUCGAAAAUGGUACCAGAGGCCAUGAACCUCCCUCAGAAUGACAUUUUCCAGGCUUCUUGUCCUCUCAUAGUACAGAUCCAAGUGCCUGUUGGUCCCUAAGAGGGGAGGAAAACUUCCGUCUGCCCAAACUAAGACCCUGUUCUUUUCUUGACCCAUGGGAGUAUUCACGGCCUGUAGGAGAAACCCAUUCAGCAAGUGAUUCACUGGCCCAUUGAUCCAUUGAUCUGCUGAUCUAUUGCUUGCAUGCAAAGCCCCAUUCCACCUGCUGGGCUUGUCCCCCUGCCUCAUAUAAGACACAGCUAAUGCAUUUCUAAAGCCUGGGUUUGCUGGUCUUAAAUGACACCAUAUGGUGGUCACAACAUCCUGGCCCAGGCUAAGUCCUGGUCAUAGUUUUUCCUCUGACAUUAGGAGUGAAAAGUCCAGGCUCUCCGUCCCUCUGCUACGGAUGUCCCCUCAAUCUCCUGUGGGCAAAGAAAGGGCAAGGGCACAAGUACUUCCAAGAAACAAACAAUGAUUUCCAGUUGUGAUGCUGCAUAAAUACAGAUUGAGGAAGGAAAAGGUUCUCUAACUCAGCAAGGAGAUAGUGCUGGGAGUACUCCCAAUUUGCAUAAUAGAUAGAGUACUUCUCAGUCUGCCUUUCAGCUGCUUCAUGAUGUUGGACCCCUCCUCCCCAGUGGUGGGUAAGCACUUUCAUUAGGACUAAGAGGUCUUCCCGAGUGCUCCCUCUCAAAAGCAAUAGAGAGUGUGCCUCACCAACAUAGAGUUUCCUGGAUCAAAAACUUCCUACAAACUGGCAGAUUUUCCAACUUCAAUAAUUUAACACCUGCUAGUACUUGUUACAACUAUGUAUUCUGUGCCAGGCAUGGAGCUGAGUGCUUUACAUAUGGGACCUUGUUUAAUUCUCACAGUCAUCCUGGAAAGUGGCUUCUAUUUUUACUUCUGUUUAACAGAUGAGGAAGCGAAGGUUCAGAGAGGUUAUAUUGUUCAAAGUCCCACAAUGAGUGAGUGAACCAGGAUUCAAACCCUUGUCAGACUCCAAGCCCAUGCUCUUAGCCAUCACACCAUAUGACCUCCAAAAUGGAGCCCCGUCACCAAGUGCAGGAGAACCACACAUCCUGGGAUUUCCAAGUCCCUACACAUUUAAAAUGUCCUGUGGCUUUUUGUCAUAAAAAUACUUGAGCUUGUCAGAUGAGUAUCUUGAUUUGAGGUUUGACAAUAUAUUCACCCAAACUGUUUUCCAAACUCGCUUCAGCAAUGCCUUACGUCAUGGGGCUUUUAAAAGCACAGAUCCAAGCAUCUUGCCCCAAACCUAUUAAAAGUCAGACUCUCCAAGGGAGGAUCCAGGGAAUCUGUAUUUCUAAAACAAAUUCCCAGGAUGAUGCCUAUGACGCCUAUGAGCUACAAUGUGUGAGCAACUGUUUCCAUGCUUGAUGGAGUGAGAGGAAUAAAACCUGCUUAAGAAAUGGUCCUUAAAUUCAAAAAACACAUAUUUCAGUAAGGGGGCAAGAUAGAGUCAAAUACCAAAGUGUGCAACAGCUAAAUAACAAGCUGUAUAGUCCUAACUAUGGAACAAUUCAGAAAAGGGGUAAAUCAUGAACUAGAAAAAUCAGAGAAGGCUGCACAGAAGAGGAGGGACUUGAAGUGGGCUGUGUAAGAUUUGGAGGAGGGAGAAAGAAGAGAGAAGGGUAUUCCAGACAGGAAGAGCACAAAGAGCAAAAGUCUUGAGGGGAGAAUGAGCUUGAUAUUUUUUUAUGAAGCAGGGAGAGGGUCAGCCCACCAAUCUGGGGGAUGGAGAGAGAACGUGCAGGAAGGAAGUUAGCCUAAGCAGGGCAGGUUCUGGCACGAGGUUGGUUUAGGUGUGGGUAGCACAAGGGAGCCACUGUGGGCUCUAGAGCAAGUACUCACAUGAUAAAGGGUGAUUAAGUUAAGGUAGAGCCUGAGAUGGUGACAGGAGAAUUAGCCAGAUCCCUGCUCUCCAGCUCUUUGAAAACAGAUGAGAGACUGCACCAGAGAACACCCAGGAGUGUCCUAAAUCUGGGGGUCCCCUGAGGCCUUAGGGGAGGGAUCCUUUCUUGGCACCCGAUUCUGCAAAAGCUAUCUUCAAGUGAGGUGUUGGGCUGAGAAGGAGGCAUUUGGAGAAUGGGGUUGUGAGGUUGUGCACACCUGUUUCCUAAAUGGAGCAGUGAGUGAGGGAAGGAGACAGUACACACACACACACACACACACACACACACACACACACACCCCAGAGGGGGAGGCUCAGACAAAGCCAGAGAGCAGUGGAAAUUCUGCAUAAGCUAUCUUAAGCAAUUUGAUGUGAGUCUAAAUUAUUUUGGCACCAAAGCAUGAUAGACCAUAUGGAGAGAAAAAAGUGUGCAAAAAGAAAGGUUGAAAAACAUUUUUUUACAAAAUAAAGAAACAAGGGCUCAUACAGAAAGAAACCAAGAGUCUGGCCUGAUGGCCCUGAUAUAUAGCAGAGUUUAGUCAAAUCUUUCUGUAAAAAAGUGAGACAUUCUGAGGAACCAGCUUCACUGGGUUGCAAUAAUUUUAUGUGCCAAAUAAAUGGUCCUAAUUAUAAGAGAGAGAAUUGGUCGAGACUGUUGGUUUGAGGGAACUCAAGUUCAGAGCACUUCAAGACAAAAGGGAAAGGCGCUGGCUCACGUAGUAGAGUAGUCUCGCUUCAGGCACAGCUCAAUCCAGGGCACUCUUGUGAUAUAAUCAGGAUAUUCUUUGCCCAUAUCUCAAAUUUGCUUUCCUCAGUGUGCCCUCACUUCUUGACACUUUUUCCAUGUUGCAGAAAACCUGAUGCUCAUUGUCUCCAGCCAUGGUCCGUCAGAAGGAGAGAAAUCCUCCCUCUCCCAAAGCCCAUUUUGUUCCUUUGCCCACUCUUGGACCCAUCACUGUGUCAGGUAAAUGGGGUACUCGGGUUGGCCAACCUGAGUUUUAUGGCUCCUCAGGUGGUGGGAAGGCAGUUCCCCUUGAUUGACAGCCCAUCAGAUUUCCAAAGUGUUGGGAGGAAGAAAAGUCUCCAAGAGGAAAAAAUGUGGCACAGAAAAGAGAGUUAGAUAUUGGUGAUAGUGCUACAGGAGUUCAGUGUCCAGAGAAAUGCUCUCUAAGGAGAAUAGUCAUGGAAGACUUCCCCAGGGAAGUGUGAUAUGUGUUCAGCCUCAAAGGGCAAAGAGAACUUGGGUCUUGGGAGGAGACAAUGUGGUGUUACAGCAAAACGCAUGGCUUGGGCAAAGACACUGCAGGAGUCCUUGCUCCUAAAAGAUUUCCACCAAUCUCUGGUUAUAUUCAAAUGUCAAUUUCCUCUCACUGUCCCUUUGUGUGCUUAAUUAAUGGUGGUAUUGAGGCUGAAGAGAGCAGCAUUGGGGGUUCUGUCUGUACUUAAGAGGCAAGAUCACUUAGGCAUGGUGGCUCACUCCUGUAAUCCCAGAACUUUGGAAAGCUGAGGUGAGAGGAUCACUUGAGGUCAGAGUUUGAGACCAGCCUGGGCAACAUUAACUGUGUUGACCCCAUCUCUACGAAUACAUAUAUGUGUGUGUAUAUAUAUAUAUACAUAUAUACAUAUAAAUACACACAUACAGACAGACACACACACACACACACACACACAUAUAUAUAUAUAUAUAUAUAUAUUUAAAUUAGCUGGGUAUGGUGACUCUUACCUAGUCCCAGCUAUUCAGGAGGCUGAGGUUGGAGGAUCUCUUGAGCCCAGGAAUUGGAGACUGCAGUGAGCUAUGAUCAUGCCACUACGGUCUAGCUUGAUGACAGACCAAGACCCUGUCUCAAAAAAAGAAAAAAAAAGACAGGAUCACUUAUUUCUCUUAGGUCAUGAAAUAAAAGGGAACCAGUCCCAAAAAAUGCUGGGCAAAAUGAGAGGCUGUCCUCAUUUCCCAAUGCACAGAAGACUCUACACUCCUGGAAACCACUAACCAUGUUGGACACAGCCAAGUUCAAUGUGAUCACUUCCCUUCAAGGGUCCUACAUCAGUGCCUUGGGUGGCAGUCACAUUUGUCCUCUAAGUGAUCCCAUUUAUAUCAAUCAAAAGCUACUUCCCUCAUUUCCCACUCACUCAGCUGGGGCUUGGUGAAGAGUCUCUGUCCCCAGCUGUGGGGGUUCUGGGUGGUCUUGCAAAAGGAGAGGCUGAUCCAGUCUUGUUGGUCCUGGCUCACAUGCACUCACUCAUUCACUGAUUACUUAUUGAGACUUUGUCAUAUGUAAGGCACAGUGCUAAGCCUAGGUGCUGAAGAGACAAUUCAACAUAGUCUUUGCCCUUAAUGAGCUGUUUACUGGGGAGAGAGAUGUGUGGUAGAUAAAAAACACGUUUGCUACUGAAGAUCCCCACCUAUUUGGAGAUAAUUGUUCCUUCCUUGCCUCAUUCAUCUGUUUUACCAAAGACUGUUAAUCACAGAUCCUAUCUCUCUCUGCACCACAAUCGUUGGCUCAGGCACAGGCAAAUGAAGCAAUCUGAUUAAAAAAAAAAAGAGAGAGAGAGAGAGAGAGAACAUCUUUAUUGGGAUUUUUCAAGCUUUAGUCUGCAGGUGCCAUGUUCUUUUCUUGUUUUUCAUGAUGAUUGGAGGAUGUGACAUGUAAUGGUAUGAUGAGAUAUUUUUCAAUUAAAAUUCUGAAUUUAGAGCAUAUAAAAACAUAACCAUUUUUAAAAUGUUGAUUUUGCAUCCAGCAAUCUUGUUUAACUCACAUAUUCAUUUGAAUAAUCUGACAGUGAAUAUUCCUGGGGUUUGGGAGGAGGGAUUUCUAUGCAGAUAAUUGUAUUGCCUGCAUAUAAAAAGUCUCACCUCUUCUCUUCCAAGUAUUAAGCUGCUUAUUUAUUUUCCAGCUUUGCCUUAGACAGGAACUCCAGUACUGAAUAGUUGGCUGAGAGUGGGCAUCCUUGUCUUGUUUCUGAUUUUAAUGCAAAUGAUUCACAGGUUGCACAAUUAAUAUAGUGCAGUCAUAAAAAAGAAAAUCUUCAAGAUGUAUGAACUGAAAUUUGUAUGUAUUUCUUAUAACAUUUUUAUACCAAUGGUAGCAUACUGCACACAUUGUUUUGCACAUUACUAAGCCUAUACAUAUAUGCUUGCAUACGGUUUGAAUAUCUGUGGAUGAAUACAAACGAAACUGGAAACAUAAGCAAUUUCCAGGGAAGGAACUGGGUAGGUGGAGUGUGUGUAUGUGGCGGGUAGUAGGGGUUAUAUUUACCUCAAAGUAUCACUUUAGCUGUAUACUUGUUUGAUAUGUAAUCAUUUGAAUGCUCUUCAGUUCAAAAUAUUUUCUGUUUCAUUAUGAUUUCCCUUCUAACCCAUCUGUUGUUUAGAGUGCAUUUUUUAGUUUCCAAACUUUUGGAAGUUUGACAUUCAAUUUAAUUGCAAUGUGAACAGAGAAUGUAGACCUUAUUAUUUUAUCUCUUUGAAAAUAUUGUGAUCUAACAUAUGAUCACUUUUUAAGUGUUCCACAUGUAUCUGAAAAUAAUGUGUAUUCUUCAUUUAAUGGAUACAGCAUUUUAUAUAGAUUUUAAAGUGUUUAAUGUUUUUGUUUAAAUUUAAAUUCUAAAUAUUUUUGUCAGCUUUAUAUAACAUUUUUAAAAGAUCAGUUAAAAUUUUCCAUUAUAACAAUUUUUUCCCAUUUUUUCUAGUAAUUUAGUCAGUUUUGCUUUUUAUAUUUUGAGGUUACAUUGGUAAGGCCAUGUAAGUUUAUUACUACUAUACAUUCUUAGAAAGUCAUUUCUUUUAAUGUUCUAUAUCAUCCCUUUGUUGCUAUUACUUUUUUUACAUUAAACUUUAUUUUGU
rnacentral:tRNA from 10 species